AUGCUCAGUUCAGCAGCACACAUACUGAAAUUAAAGCACUACAGAGAAGAUUAACAUGGCCCCUGCUGCAAGAAUGAUACGCAAAUUUGUGAAGUGAAAUUAUAGUUU